UUUUUUAGAUUUCCAUCCAAACUUCCGUCCAAAUUAGGAGUCAAAUCGUAAUUUUCUUUUUUAAAAAUAGAAAAUAAGAAAUUUAAAAAUUUAAAAAUAAGAAAUAAAAUGAGAAAAUAACAAAUUAAAAAAAAUCCAGCCCCUCUCCCUGUACCCAACAUAGCCGCACGCUCCCCGCCUCCCCUCCUCCUCCGGCAAGCGAAAGCCACUACCUAAACAGCGACUCUACGUAGCUUGGAUUCGAUUUGAGGGCCAAAGGGGACACCUCCGUAAGUUGCAACAACUCGACAUCAAACGACGCCGCAUCCACCGCGAUUUCCAUACUCAUCUAUACACAUAUACAGAUCACAGAACCCUAGAUUCGGAAUUCAAAUCCCCAAGAGACACCAGAUGAAUUGAAGUGAGAGAAAGGGAGAGAGUUUCGGUACCCACACAUUGUUGUUCCGUUUGAGGAAUUUGAUUCCGUUUUGCAUUGGCUGAUUACGAAUUCAAAUUGUCCAGCUAUAUGUUGCUUUUGACGGAUCAUCAUGGGCGUGCAUGACCUACCAUUUAUAGCUGGCCAAGAGGUAGAAUCAAGAUCAUUUAUUCCAGGUUUUCGUGGUGCAUGGUUCCGAUGUAAGAUAAUAGAGAUUGCCUGGAGAAUGGGUCAGAUUUCAACCUCCUUGGAGUAUUUUGACUUUCCGGGUGAAAAAAUAACUUGGACGAAAAUAUAUCAAGCAAGCCGUGCUUAUAGUAAAAAGUCAACAAAGUCAAGAAAAUUGCAAUUGAUGUUGCGGCCUUACUUUCCUCCUGUCUAUCACGAAAGUACAAUGCCUGAUGUCAAUACAAUAGCGGAAGUGGUAGUUCUUGUCAAUGAUGUCUGGAAAGUGGGAGAUUUAGUUGAUUGGUGGAAGGAUGGUUGUUAUUGGUCUGGAAGAGUAACAGAAGUAUUAGGGAAUGAGAAAGUUAAGAUUGAGUUGCCGCCUCCUCCUGUUGGUGAAGGAUGUUCCUAUGAAGUUUCUUGCAAGGACUUGCGCCCAUCCUUGGAUUGGUCUCCAGAAAAUGGUUGGACAGUACCCACAAUGGAGAGUGAAAAUGGACGUCCUUGUGCUCGAGUAAUGAAGCCUGGUAAUCAAGGGGGCAUUUCAAGCUUGACGGCCCAUUCUGUAGGUGAUGGAAGAAAGGGUGUCCAGGCUAUUGCUGUAGCAUCACAUCCUUCUUCUCAAGUAUCUGCUAGCUCAUUGCAACCUCUUGAUGGAUUAGAGGAAAUGGCAAAGCAACCGUUAGGUGCUAUAACAGCAAAGUUGACACCCACACCAGAAACAAAUGUUGAUUCAGACAUGGCAGAUAGUGGGAUUGGGAAGACGAGUUGCUCAGAUAGUGUUUCAAGUUCGCAUAUUAAAAAUGCAUCAAAGGGGAUGGGGAGAUCUACAACUGGGAAAGACAGAGUUGACAACAAUGGGUCCUUAAAGAAGUUGAAAACAGAUCAAAGCAUAGUUUUAAAUUCAAUGAGCUCUGACACAUUAGAAGCUGCAAUUUUAGACUUGGAGGAACUUGUAAAUCGGGUUAAAUGGAUGAAGGGUGUAUUGGAGAUUGGAAUGCCUUUGACAAGUGCCAUGCGCCCCACUUGGAAGUUUUUGUGACAUCAUCCCUCGUCCACACCAAAAUGACUGAGCAUUUUCACGCACAGCAGGAGCAAAAUGGACCAAUAACAUAGCCAGGAGAAUUCAUCUCUGUUCAAUCUAGCAACUUUUUUUAGCACACCUGUGGAUUAUGGAUAUUCAUGAUACUUUGUUGGAGAUUGAUUUUGUCGUCCUGUUCGAGAUCUAGAGCCCUGAAGCAGGAAAGCUAUCAGAAAUUAUUGAUCAAAUUUUGAUUGCAGAAGCCUGACAUUUUGAAGGCUCUUUCCUUUACCUGGCUUUAGCUUCUUCCAGUGGUCUCCAUAUAUACCACGUGUUGAGAUGCUUUCUUAAUCUUGUAAAUCAGUUUUGUUAUGAUACUGUUAUUACUCGUACUGAAAAUGCCAUUUUACAAGCCAACCUGUCACUGCAUGUACAGUUGAAGACGAGAGGCUCAACUUUCUACUUCAUUUUUUGAAUACAAGCAAUAGUCUAAACUACAAAGGCGUUCUCACACACAUUAUACCAAGAUGCCAUGGGGGCUCGAACUUGAGACUGCAAGUCAAGGUCCUUCUCCACUAGACUAGACCCCGUUGACCCAACUUUACUUUUCGCUCAAUCAAAAGUUCGUGUUAUCCUGUUUCAA